CUCGUAGGCGGUUCGUCGCGUCCGGUGUGAAAGCCCAUCGCUUAACGGUGGAUCUGCGCCGGGUACGGGCGGGCUGGAGUGCGGUAGGGGAGACUGGAAUUCCCGGUGUAACGGUGGAAUGUGUAGAUAUCGGGAAGAACACCAAUGGCGAAGGCAGGUCUCUGGGCCGUUACUGACGCUGAGGAGCGAAAGCGUGGGGAGCGAACA
rnacentral:rRNA from 1 species